GAUGAACGCUGGCGGCGUGCCUAAUACAUGCAAGUCGAGCGAACAGACGAGGAGCUUGCUCCUCCGACGUUAGCGGCGGACGGGUGAGUAACACGUGGAUAACCUACCUAUAAGACUGGGAUAACUUCGGGAAACCGGAGCUAAUACCGGAUAAUAUAUUGAACCGCAUGGUUCAAUAGUGAAAGACGGCUUUGCUGUCACUUAUAGAUGGAUCCGCGCCGCAUUAGCUAGUUGGUAAGGUAACGGCUUACCAAGGCAACGAUGCGUAGCCGACCUGAGAGGGUGAUCGGCCACACUGGAACUGAGACACGGUCCAGACUCCUACGGGAGGCAGCAGUAGGGAAUCUUCCGCAAUGGGCGAAAGCCUGACGGAGCAACGCCGCGUGAGUGAUGAAGGUCUUCGGAUCGUAAAACUCUGUUAUUAGGGAAGAACAAAUGUGUAAGUAACUAUGCACGUCUUGACGGUACCUAAUCAGAAAGCCACGGCUAACUACGUG
rnacentral:rRNA from 1 species